rnacentral:lncRNA from 1 species
CCACAUCAACAGAACUACCAGACAUCUCAGUAUUCUCCCAAACAGCAGAUUUCUCAGUCAGCUUACCAGUCACCACCUAGGUCUCAAUGUUCUUCACCCUUCAGCUUUCCUCAUCAUCAAGUACAGCCUUCCCAGUUGGGCCACCCAAGUAGUCACAUCUUUGUGCCACCUAAUCAGGACCUCCUGGCUGUCAGAAACAGUGAAAUCAUUCAGUAGCAUAUAUCCAAUACACAACAUCUAGCUUGCACAGAGGAUUCAUGAAAAAGACAGAAAUUAUGGUUUAACCUUCUCAAAGACCUGGAACAGUAAUUAAUAGCUGUCCUUCACCCAUCAGUAAUCAACUUUCCCCAUGUAAUUGGCGUUCUCUCUAUGCAGGCACUGUAACACCUUGAAGUUCUUCAAGGGGAAUGUAUAGUCAAUCAAAGCCUUCAAUGAAUGUGAAUCCCAUGCAUAUUACAUAUACACAACGAAGUGGACCUUCAUGUGCCCUAUCACAGUCUCCUCAGAUAAUACCACAUCUAUCUGCAGUUUUAAAAAUUACUGUAGGUGGAGCAACAACUGAAAAUCUUUUAAAUUUCAUGGACCAAGAUGAAUAGUUGGCAGCGCCAGAACCCGUUCAGCCAAUUUUAGUGACUCCAGGUCCUGGAGGAAAAAAGAGACAGUUUAACCAUAUUCACCAGACUGCUCUCCUACUCCUGACCUCAAGUGAUCUAUCUGCCUCUGUUCCCAAAGUGUUGACAUUACAAGCAUGAGCCACAGCGUCCAGCUUGGAGUUAGAAAGAGACCAGUAUGAAUUUGAAAGAUGUAUUAGCCAUAAACUAUUUUUAAUGCUUCUGAAUUUUAUUUAAUGUAA